AAUCUUCCGCAAUGGACGAAAGUCUGACGGAGCAACGCCUCGUGAGUGAUGAAGGUCUUCGGAUCGUAAAACUCUGUUGUUAGUGAAGAACAAGUAUCGUUCGAUUAGGGCGGUACCUUGACGGUACUUAACCAGAAAGCCACGGCUAACUACGUGCCACCAGCCGCGGCAAUACGUAGGUGGCAAGAGUUAUCCGGAGUUAUUGGGCGGAAAGCGCGCGCAGGCGGUUUCUUAAAUGUGAGAUGAAAGACCCCGGCUCAACCGUGGAGGGUCAUUGGAAAAUGGGAAGCUUGAGUGCAGGAGAGGAGAGUGGAAUUCCAUGUGUAGCGGUGAAAUGCGUAGAGAUAUGGAGGAACACCAGUGGCGAAGGCGACUCUCUGGGCUGCAACUGACGCUGAGGCGCGAAAGCGUGGGGAGCGAACA
rnacentral:rRNA from 1 species